CCUCCAGUAGCUCAUGUAAUUUGGAAUUUUAGUGAGUGAAGUCUUUCGUCUGUACCUGCAGCACCAGUCAUGCCUGGCACUGCCUGUGGGUUUAGGACUUAACAAGAAGGGCGGGAGAGCAGAGACAUAUUCAUUUCUAAACCUUUGAAAGCUAACUGCAAAUUUGGCUUCUUAAAUUACUUCAUCUGAGUCACCAGAGGAAGAAGGGUGGUUCCUUAUGUGAUCAGGUAGAUAGGGCCUUGCUCAAGCAGAGGCUGGUAUGCCCUCUAGUGUAAUACUUAUUAAAAAGCAGCAAGCUCUAAAGAGCCUGACUUCCCAAUCUCCUGGAAGGAUGUUCCAAGAUCUAUCAAGCACAUUGUUAGGCUCACAAUGCAGUCAAAGAAAUAACUUUGUUUUGUUAAUGAAUUUACUCCCAACUUUGCCUAACAGACUAUGAAUAGUUGUGGUGUCUAUCAGUUUUGUUCCAAACUACCCAAAUAAUUUUGGUUCCUUUUUUUUUGAAGCCUCCAUUACUUGUUUUGUUCUAGGGGAGAGCUCAGAGUAAGAACUUGUUUCUAUAAGAACAGCCUUCUUCCCAGGAAGAGCUGCUGCUCCAGUAGGCAGAAAGGUACAUCAGAAACCAUGAUUCAAAGGGUUCUGUCCUCAAUUCAGCAUGUUUCUAGCUUCAUCCCCUUACCUUUGUAAGUGGCAAAGGAAGAUUAAAACUGAGCAAGAGAGUUUUGGCAGCACGCAGAGAUGCUGGCUUUGGGAAAUGAGUCAGAAUAUGAGCAAGAUCUUACAACAGCUGUUCGGGGCAACCACCUCCCAGCCAUCCUUCCUGCCCAACAGAGUGUGAGGGAGCAGCUAGAACUGAGCAGCUGCUCAUCACCUGGGAUGGAACCGACACUGGAACUAGAGAGACCUGCACAGCACUCUCUUAACAGCAGUGCUGGCCCCUUGCUCUGGAACCUGUGGGGGCUGAGAUACCUUCCCCUUUGGAAGCAAUGGUAGGGGUUCCUGCCACCUGCCUCAGGGAUUCCUUUUUUGAACUUUGUGUGUUGGGAUCGACACUGAAGGCUGUUGCUCCUGUGUCUUCAUGCAGACAUGCCCACAGGACAUCCCACCUGCUCGGGAAAAGAUCCAGAGUACUCAUGUCAACAGUGAGCCUUGCUUUGAGUUUACUGCUCCUGUACUGUCAGCUGCAGUCUUACCCCACUGUGGUGGCCUCCAACAGGCCUGGAAUGGGAGAAGGAGCAGACUUUAAUCCAAAGCUACCCAGGAAAGACAUGCACACUCCCCAGCUUACUGCAAGCCCAUGGCCUGCAGUGUCUGGCUUGCACGAGCUGCAAGAACACCUGUCUCUCAGUGACAGAAAAAAGUUUCAGGCAAGCAGGUGCAGACCAGGGCCGAGCCUCCAGCAGUGUUCUGCACUCUGGCUGUCUCUUGAAGCAUUGGUACAGCUCUGCUGCACCUCUUGGUGGUCUGGACACCUCAGAGUGUUUACCACAGGACUUGGCUGGCUGCUGCCUCAAAACAUUUGAGAUGAUCUCCAGUGACAUAAACCACCCUAAAACGCAGAUCCCAGGACAUAACAAAAAGGACACAAGGCCAUGCUGUUGGAUGACCUCCCUAUUACCUGUGGACACCAAGCCAGUAAAAGGUAAGUUGCCUCAUUCCUGCUUCCAGUCCCUGGCCACUGUUGUGAGGCUGGAGCUCAAAGCUGUCUGCACACCCACCCAAGGAGAGUGUGCAGGAGCAGGCUUCUUCUUGGCUGUUUAGCUUGUAAAUUCUUUGGAAAAAGGGCCCCAUCUAGGUCUGUCUGCACAGCAUUUAGCAUAAUAAAGUCCUGCUCCUUGUUAUGGUGCCA
rnacentral:lncRNA from 1 species